AAAUACAUGUCGUUAAUUAUAAGAUCUUGCACAUAAUAUCGCAAGUAGCUAGAUCAUCAACACAUGAUUCGUAAGAGUACUAAAGAGUUCAUAAUAAUAUCAGAUCAUACAUCAAGCUGAAUUCAUAUAUCCUCCCCCCCUUAAUUAAGACCACUUGGACUUUUUACAGAUCCAGUUCUUCAGAGGAUUACAAAUAUUAUAUACUUUUAACUAUAAGUUGCUUUUUAGUGCAAUUAUUUAAGUUGUUUAUAUAUAUCAAGCAGAAGUCCAUACAUAUAUAACGUGAAAUGGACAUUCAUUUCAAUUAGUAUGGACUUUGGCCUAUGACAUUACCUGGAGGAUCAUAGUUGCAAGAGACAACAUAUCCUCCAUUGUUGCACUUAACCCUAGCACAUCCAACACGAACCGAGUUACGCCAAACCACCUGAGUAUAGUGUCCACACACCUGUCCUUGUGCACAAGUAUUUGAGUCAUGGUCAUAGUACUGUUUCUCAUCGACCCACAUCUCGACGGCCUUAGCAGCCGUCAUAAAAUCGCCACUUCCCUGAGCUAGGUUUUCGCCGUAUUGGCCAUGAGAAUGUACGAGGUUGCAGUCUGCAGCCAAUUGAGAAACAUAAUUUUGUGCAUAGGCUGCUACCCCGUUGUCCCAAGUUAAUGGUUCCACGCCUACAUCUGCACGAGCUGUGUUAUGGGCAUCCAAAUAGUCUUGUUGAGAGUUUUGGGCAUGAGAAGAGUGAGAUAUUAUUAGGAAUAAGAGAAGUGUAGAGACAAGAAAAAAUGAGGGCAUUUGUGAAAAGAGAAAAAAUCCCAUGACUAUAGGAGAAAUGUUUUAUUUUGAAUGGAAAAACUAGAUUUACUACCACAGGUAUUUAUAGGAGAAAUCUUGAAGAUUUCACGGCGAUCAUUCAUGCACUUACUAAAAAUUUUUGACAUGGUAAUAUCAAUGUAAUAUAUCUUGUUAUAGAUAGUUAUUUAUCCUAUUUUCUAGGUUAUCAUAUUUUAAACUUAUAUAAGCAGUUACCAAUUAUUGUAAAAUAUUUUACCUGAUGUUGCAAAAUAAUUUUAAAUUGUCCAUGCAUGAAGUUAAACACUUUUUUGAUCUAGUAGAUGUGUUUUUUGUUAAAUAAAAUAGACUGGUUAUGGUUACUUGGUUAUGGUUACUGUGUUAAUUCUUCUAAUAUUUUCUACAUUUAACGAUCUGAUUAAUUUUUGCUUCGAUAUUUAUAUCUCUUUUGUUUCAGAAUGGGAAUGUCCAUUGGAAAAAGAAUUUAAAAUAAAUACUUUUUGGUGUUUCUUUUUUCUAAUAAUCUUAUUUCUAAAUCUUAUAUUAUAUUUCUUAUAAUAAUUUGUACAAUCAAUUCUCUAAAAGAAAAAAAUUAUAAUAAAACCAAACACAGUGUGUGUGUCUUCUUCUUUCUUUUCUCAAUAUUUGUGGAAAACUUGAACAUGGGCAGUCAUCUCGAUGACGUUAAAUAACUUUCAAAUUUGGAGGCAAAGCAUAUUUGGAUAUUCUUCAGUUCUUUCUCUAAUUUCCUUCCCUACACGUUACUCAUGUACUAUCACACUUUUCUAUUAUCUCAUUCCAAUCACAACUUGACUUUAGAUUCAAAUGGCAAUUUUUUUUUUUUGUGUGUGUAAAUAGCUUAUGUUUAUUUCGUUUCUCGACAUUAGUGGAAAAGAAAGCUCAAGUUUUAGGGAAAAAGCUAGAGUUUGAAAUCCUCUAGGGUGUUUUAAGAUUUAACUACUUUAUUUUUCCCAGAAAUAACACCCUAAAGCAUCUCGCUGUAAUGGCAUUCACUUAUUUUCCCUAUAAUUUUAAUGGAUAAAUGACAACCAAACUCCUUAAAAAGACUUCGGCCAAUGCUUUAGGUGGUGAAGUAUAGACCCAAGAGAAGACUUACAAGAGAGACCAGUGUUUUUGUUAUGCAAAAAGAGUAAUUUGAUUCAGUUAUAUACACUGAUAAUGCGGAAGAAUUUUGUAACUAUUGCCAUUUAGCAAUUUACCAUAAAAGUUACAUAUAAUUGUAAGUCAAACUUAUCGUGAAAUGAAAAAAUUUAUACACUAUUAGAUGAAAAAAAAAUGAAAACUUAAACUCUACACUAUGAUAAUUGACAUCCUCAUAUACCUUAGUCCUUAAAAAAGGUUUAUGUGCUACGAUCCCUAGGUAAAGGUUUGCGCCAUCAGGGUCACAAAUUGUGCCUCACGACUUGACUAUAAGAUCAAAAAUCUAAAAAAGUAAGUUAUCUUAAUUAAUUUAUUAUAUUGAUAAUAGAGCUUAAAAUUCAAAUGUUCUUGAGGUUUCACUUUUCUUUUUGCAAUACAUUCCUCAUUGAGUAACUUUAUAGAAUUAAAAAAAUGAUACAGUGAGAAAUCAUAGUAGCAAAUCUGAUUGCCAAUGCAUGAAGUUAAACACUUUUUUGAUCUAGUAGAUGUGUUUUUUGUUAAAUAAUUAAAAUAGUCUGGUUAUGGUUACUAUGUUAAUUCUUGUAACGACCCGACUUGUCGUUUUGAACAUUUACGCUCAUUUCAACUAUUUGAAGUCUUGAAUAGCUUCAUAUGAUAUAUUAUGAUGUGUGUGAAUCGUCGGUUUUGAUGUUUCAGGUGUUUCGGGAUUAGUUCGGAAGAAUAAAUUUCAUGUUGGAAACUUAAAUGAAAAGAGUUGACCGGAAUUUUGACUUUUGUGCAAACGACUCCGGAAUAGAGUUUUGAUGAUUUCAAUAGCUCCGUACGGUGAUUUUGGACUUAGGAGUAUGUCCGAAAAAUUAUUUGGAAGUUCGUAGUUAAAUUAGGCUUGAAAUGGCGAAAGUAGGAAAUUUAAGUUUGGAAGUUUGAUCGGGGAGUUGACUUUUUAAUAUCGGGGUUAGAAUCCAGUUCUGAAAAUUUUUAUAGGUUCGUUAUGUCAUUUAUGAUUGUGUGCAAAAUUUGAGGUCAAUCAGACUUGAUUCGAUAGGUUUCGAUAUCGAAUGUAGAAGUUGAAAUUUGUUGGUUUCUAUUAGGAUUGAAUUGGGGUGCGAUUCGUGAUUUUAGCGUUAUUUUAUGUGAUUUGAGGCCUAAACUAAGGUCGUAUAAUAUUUUAGGACUUGUUGGUAUAUUUGGUUGGGGUCCCGGGGGCCUCGGGUGUGUUUCAGGUGUUAUCGGGUGAUUUUGGGCUACUUUGGAUGCAGGUUUUCUGAUAUCUGAUUUUGUUCUUCGCGUUUGCGACUCUCGCGUUCGAGAAGAAGGAUUUGGCUUUUGGGAUUUUGUUCUUCGCGUUCGCGAAGAAAGAAAUUCCUGUUGUCCGUCGUCCGACUUUGGAAGCUUAUAUCUCGCAAUCUAUAAGGAAUUGGAAGAUGAUCAAAACAUGAAAGUUGUAUCCCUUGAUGUUUAGUUUUCAGAAAGUCAAACCAUUUGUCAUAUGGACUUUUGUACAAAAAGUUAUGUCCAUUAUACUAGAGGCUGUCUAGGAAGAGUUUGAAAAUGGCCGUUGAGGAAUAUGUUCAUCGUGAAUGCGAGAUGAUGGUCACGAACGCGAAGAACAUACCCCUAGGCAGCAGAUUUAAGUUCUGAAAAUAGGACUCCAUUCCAUUUUCUAUUUUUAACGAUUUAGAGCUCAGGGAGAGGCGAUGUUUAGGAGAUUUUCAAGAAAAAUAAUGGGAUAAGUGUUCUUAACUCAAUUUUGGUCAAAUUACCCGAAUCUAUUGCUAUUUUUAGCAUUUAAUUGAUGUUUAAGUUGAAAAAAUUGUGAAAACCCUUAAGGUUAAAUUGAAAAUUUGAGGGUCGAGUUGAUGUCAGAAUUUGAUAAAUUUGGUAUGGUUGGACUCGUGGUUGAAUGAGCGUUCAUAUUUUAUAACUUUUGUCGGGUUCUGAGACGUGAGCCCCACUGGCGAUGUUUUAGUGUAAUUUUAGAUUUUGUUGGAAAAUAAGUAUUUUCAUAUGGAAUUAAUUCCUAUAAAUUGUGUUGACUGUAUCGAAUUAAUUGUGACUAGAUUCGAGGCGUUCGGAGGCCGAUUUGCAAGGCAAAAGCAUAUUGGAAUAAAGAAUUACACGGUUUGAGGUAAAUAACACUUCUAAACUUGGUUUUGAGGGUAUAAAUCCCUGAAUUACAUAUUAUGUGAAUUGUAUGGAGGUGACGCACAUGCUAGGUGACGGGCGUGCACCAUAGAAAUUGUGACUUAAUUGAUUCCGUGGAGUUGCACAAUCAAAUAAUCAUGUCAUUAUCCAUAUAUCAUCCACGUGUUAGAGGAAAUUGAGUUGAGACUCAUGUUAAAGAUCAUGUUUAGGCUACAUGCCGAUAUUUUGGGAUCCACAGAGGUCUGAUUGCUAUUGAAUUACUUGUUUUAAUUGUAAUUUUGUACUCAGUCACAUCUAUCAUUUGCAUAUCAUAUCUCAGUCUCUAUUGUCAUUCAUUGAUACAUCAUAUCAUCAUGUCAGAUUGAUUUUCAUGUCAUUGAGACGCCCGAGAGACUAGAGUAUUUUGAGUGANNNNNNNNNNNNNNNNNNNNNNNNNNNNNNNNNNNNNNNNNNNNNNNNNNNNNNNNNNNNNNNNNNNNNNNNNNNNNNNNNNNNNNNNNNNNNNNNNNNNNNNNNNNNNNNNNNNNNNNNNNNNNNNNNNNNNNNNNNNNNNNNNNNNNNNNNNNNNNNNNNNNNNNNNNNNNNNNNNNNNNNNNNNNNNNNNNNNNNNNNNNNNNNNNNNNNNNNNNNNNNNNNNNNNNNNNNNNNNNNNNNNNNNNNNNNNNNNNNNNNNNNNNNNNNNNNNNNNNNNNNNNNNNNNNNNNNNNNNNNNNNNNNNNNNNNNNNNNNNNNNNNNNNNNNNNNNNNNNNNNNNNNNNNNNNNNNNNNNNNNNNNNNNNNNNNNNNNNNNNNNNNNNNNNNNCUAGUAGAGUCUUGCAGAUCGGUAUGAUGACGUCCAUACGUAUCUUCGAGAGGCUACAUGGCAUUUAGGAUAAUUUUCCAUCUUUCUUUCCUUAUCGUGCGAAAUUGAUUCAGCUUGAAACAUAACUCUUUGAAUUCCCUCCAUGCAUUCGUAUGUGCAUGCAAGCGCUCGGUAUCAGCCGUGCAUCGACGGCUUGUGAUUCCAGGGAUGAGGAGCGAGAUGUGAUUUCUGUGUUUUGGUGAUGCGCCAAUCUGGAGGACUUGAGGCCAGGUUUAGACCGUAGCUUAGGCUCUGUAGCUACAAUUGUGUGAACUUGUACAUUUGGACUCAUAUAUCCGGUAGUGUCCCUAUGAGUGGAAAAUUAUGGCUCGAUGAGCGGUUGAAUAGCUAUAUGAUGAGUAUGAUAUGACUACGGGAUGUGUUCAGAUGGGUUGAAUGUGACGAAUAAAGUUUAUUUGCGAGUCAAGAGUUUGCUACUGGGUACUUGAUUUCUGUCUUGAUUUGACGUAUAGUCUCGAGUUGUGAGUGUAUUGAAGGAUCUUUAACGUUGUUUAAUUGUGGAAUAAAUUAAAUUCUCAUGUCUUGUUAAUGAGUUUGGACUCAGAAAGAUUAAGUGAUUGCGUAGUAAUUGAUACCCAAUUUUAUCCUCAUAUUUUUAAAAUAGUAUAUAUACUUUCAAAAUAUUAUUUUGCAUCAUUACUUAAUUUACAAGAGUUAUACAAGUAUUUUCUAUAAUAUUUUUAAUUGUUAAAGCAUUAAAAUUGAUUUUUUGGCAUUUUAAUUACUUGAAUAUGCAUUAAUUACCGCUUUAAAUUAUUUCGUGACGACUUAAUCGUCCAAAUUUAUUACUUGCAUCCAUAUGUAUAUUUUAUAAUAUUUUAUUUCAUUUGUAUAUAAUUAUAUUUGUAUUUUUGAGCUAUUUGCAUAAUUUUGCAAUAAUAACCUAUAAUAUAUGCGUAAUUAUAUUUUAUCACAUUAUUUGUGCCAAAAUAACAUUUUAUAUUUUUAUAAUGUUAAGCUAUUAAUUUCAAUCAUUUUACUAUACAAGUAAUAUUUUAUUAUUUAUAAAUUACUUCUUAUAAAUUAUUUUAAUUAAAUUUUGCAUAUUUAAUUUACAGCCCAAUACAAGGCUAAUUUCGGACCAAAUUACAAGGCCCAAACACUUAGCCCAUUCAUUUUUCUCUUCAGCAGCCCAGUCAAAUGACCCCUUUUAAAACCUGAUCGCGACCCGUUUAUUCAACCCGCCCCACCUACCUUUUAAUCUUGGUCGUUGAUCUCAUAUGAUCAACGACCCGAAAUUAAACCCUCACUCUCCUUAUAUCCCCACCCCAAACCCUAGAGACCAUUUUCUUUUCCCAGCCGCCCUCACACACUCUCAUCUUCUACGAACCCUAGCUGUCUUACCCCCAAAACAUCUCUUUGAAUCCGGUUAUACUAUGGAGUCCUACGAUCUGCUUACCUUAUUUACACUACCCUGCUACUAUUCACACGCUCUUGAUGUUACUUAGUACUCACCUAUUCUUGGCAAAUACCCAGCCUUGAGUUAUGAACAAUCGUCCUCAAUCUUUGAGACUUAGAUGAUAUUUCAUCUAUAUACACUCACCACCAGUUUCUAUGGGUCUGAUUCAGUGAGAUUUUUUUACCAUUUUUGUUCUUCAUCUUAAAUUAUGGUUUGCCCAUUUCUUCUUAAAUUGAUUUUAAUAGAUUUUGUAUCCUACAUUUUCCUUAUUUGUGUUUAAUCAAUUGUCUUUCCUUAUUUGGGCACUUAAUUUUGAUGCUAUAUAAACCCCUCCCCAAUUUCCCCUUUGAACAAAUGCUAGUCGCUAAAAACUACUACUGUCUUUCUUAUUCUUUCUUGUCUUACACUAUUCUGUGGCUCAAUCUUUUGGCCGGCUAAAAGCUAAGGCCACCGUAUUCUGUUAACCUUCCUCCAGUGCAAGCACUGCUCGGGGUCCAUUUCGAGGCUCGUGUGAACUUUGAAGCACUAGAGGUUUGGGGAUUUUUCAUCACUCUCCUGCAAUUGCUGCUAUUCCUGAGAUUCUGAGUCUCUCAUUCUUUAUUCGUUUGUAUGCAACUGGUUAGUGCCUUGUACCCUCGUAAUUUUACUCCUUUCUGUUUAUGCUUAUGUUAUGUGCAUUAGUGUCGUAUGGAUUUCUCUGAGUUAAUUUCGAUAUUAUGCCAUUUCAUAUACGAUUAUGUUUAUUUUAGCAUUACUCUAUAGUUCCAUUAGCUCCAAUUCUGUGUAAGUCUUGAUGUUAACUCAUAUUUGUAUAGUUAAGUUGAUUCAUGAUGUCUGCAUGAUUCGUAAUUGAAACCUAAUUGAUGGUUGUUGAACUUUGUUUAAUUUCUCAUACUGAAACCCCUUUGUGAGACUAUAUUCUUGCUCGAAAUUGCUUACUUUAUGUUGAAUCUUUUAUGCCUAAUUUGCUAUUUCUCUGCAAGUCAUGCCUAAAUGCUUAGCCUUAAUUGUGUCCAACCUGAAUGACCAUCAUGUUUACUUGUUGCUUAGUCUGAGUUUGGCUUCUUGCCUUAUUCUGUACUAUCAUGAUAACCAACUCAUGUGUUCCGAUACUUUAAAUGUGACCAAUUCUUGAUUGUGGUGACAGUCAAUUGUGAGCUUAAUGCAUGUUCCAUGUUUGGUCCAAUCCUGUGUUGCUUGAUACUGCUUAUAGCUUAUAAGAUGAAAUGCAACAUCUAUCCUUUAUGUGACAAUCUAGUCUUUGCCUAUUAUGAAUUUUGACCCUCUCAAGUGUCACCUGACCUUCAUAUUGAUCAUGAAUUCUUUAGACUUCGAAAUCUUUGUGUUAUACUCAGCAUGCUAGGCUGCCUAUUGAUCUAUCGUAGACCUUGCCUACUUGUUUGUUUACUAUGUCUAAUUGCCAUUCUCUUACUAUGACUUUAUUAGACCUUCAUGCCUUACACUCCCAGUUUUGAAUCUCUUUUAGGCUAACUUUGGCUUAUGCUUCACUAUAAACUCGGUGUUCUGAAAAACUAAGUGUGUAUAUGUGCUUACCAUGUAAACCUAAGUGAUAUGCCUCUCCAACUGUGCUAAUAUUGCACAUGUUAUCUCUUUCACUUGUUAUGAACUUAUGUUGUUAGUUUUUAUGUCAUUUGGAGAUUAAGUUCUACUGGUUCUCCUAGUUUCAUGUUUAAUCCCUUGUUUGAUCAAUCCCGUCACCCUAUCUCCUAAAAAUGCAAGUGCCAAUAUGCUUUCAUGUGAAUCCUGUUGAAUGUCAUGUAAUCCUGUCCCUAUGAGGUAUUACCUCAAGGUUGUUCGAUUGAUUGCUAUAUGUGGUUCGUUAGAUCAUAUGGCUAAGUGGUUUGUCUGUUAUCACUGGGUGUGGCAUGAACUCAUGCGUAGCCCUUGGCUGUGCAAAUGAUACACCCACCUGUUUGAGAUGCGUUUGGAUCUGGGUCUGCUGUUCGAGGGGGAAUGAAUCUAUUGAAGGCUCAGUCAUUGCUGGGUUAUUUUCAUUUGGGCCUGUCCUUGGGCCAACAGUUGUCCAGUGUGUAAUAUUUAUACUCAUAUGCAUUAUUUUGGGCUGUAAUAAUUUGUAAACUAGACAGUUGGGGAAAUCAGUGAAAUUGGGGAAUCGGGUACAUUCUAAUGCUUGCAUAAAGGGUAGAAAAUAUGCCUAUAGGGUCUACGUGGUCUAUUUGCUAUUUUGUUCAACAUGCCAUAUAUGCUAUUUGGUUUCAUGUAUUGUACACUAAUAGAAAUCAUUCCUACAGGAAUCACGCACACACUUUACUUCAUUUGUCAAAUAUGCUACAUUUGUUUCCAUGUCUACUAUCCAACACUUUUAGAUAACAUGUCUGUAGAAUGCAACAAUGCAAUACUUUUAUUUACAUAGAUGCCAUGACUAUAGGGUCAUAACUAAUUAAUCAACUACUUCGUGCUGUUUUUGUACUGCUUCACUUAGAUAGCAUGCCUAUAAGGAUAAAGUAUUACAAAAUCGAGUCUAUUUAUCAACUGUUAGAAAUCCUGCCCAUAGGAUGCUGAUUGACGCUGCUAAUCUUGUGUUUUCAAACGACUUCGCUGCCUAAUUAUGCGACUAUUAGAGAUCAUGCCUAUAGGGACUGUCACCUGCCUAAGACGCAUGUCUAUAAAACCAGCAUUAGUAAUUCAGAAAUAUGAGAUUGUUUUCACUACCUUAUUAUGCAAACAAUUAUCAUCCGAGCCAUUCAGGANNNNNNNNNNNNNNNNNNNNNNNNNNNNNNNNNNNNNNNNNNNNNNNNNNNNNNNNNNNNNNNNNNNNNNNNNNNNNNNNNNNNNNNNNNNNNNNNNNNNNNNNNNNNNNNNNNNNNNNNNNNNNNNNNNNNNNNNNNNNNNNNNNNNNNNNNNNNNNNNNNNNNNNNNNNNNNNNNNNNNNNNNNNNNNNNNNNNNNNNNNNNNNNNNNNNNNNNNNNNCAUCAAAACGAUGAAUCACACCUAAAUUUGAACUCAAAUGAACUUUGAACUUUCAACUUCCAAAACUCGCGCUGAAACAUAUCAAAUCAACCCGGAAUGAACUCAGAUUUAGCACACAAGUCCCAAAUGGCAUAUCGAAGCUAUUCCAAUUUCCGGAACCACAAUCCGAAUCUGAUAUCCUCAAAGUCAACUUCCGGUCAAACUUAUUAACUUUCCAAACCUUCAAAUUUCCAUCUUUCGCCAAUUAGUGUCGAAUCCUUCUAGGAACAUCCAAAUGCAAAUCCGAGCAUACGCCUGAGUCGAAAAUCACCAUUCGGACCUAACAGAACCAUUAAAACUCCAAUCUGAGGUCAAACAAUAAAAGUCAAACUUGGUAAACUCUUCCAACUAAAAGCUUAAAUCAUGGAAUUCAUUCUUCCAAUUCGAUUCCGAUUAACCUAAAAAUCAAAACCGACGAUUCACACAAGUCAUAAUACAUCAUACAGAGCUACUCAUGCCCUCAACUAUCGAGCGAAAUGCAAAUGCUCGAAAUGCCCGGUCGAGUUGUUACAUCCUUCCCCACUUAAAUAUACGUUCAUCCUCGAACGUGCCAAGAGUUAUUCCAAAGCCAUCAAAUCGCCGUGUAACCUUUCCAUGCACAUACUCGGGGGUGAUCCAACGUCACCUUAUUCCAUAUAGGCUUGACAACGCAACAUAACUAAAGAUCAUUACUUCAACCUUAGCCCGUAAACCAUAGAAUCCCAUUUCCAACAUCCGGAAUUUCCUAUAAGAUCUGAAUCUCGCAAUUACACACCGCAUAAGUGUGAACAAGUUGAAUCAAGCCAUAACCAUAACCCAAGAUGAAAUCACAUGAUAUACCACAUAAAUCAAAUACUCAUAGUAAUAAUUUUCGACCACAAUAACAACUCAAAGCAAACCUGGUACCGGUAAUAAACCUCAUAUCAAACAAAACCUCAUUCUAAAAACUUUGUACACUACCAAUGAUGGAAGAAACACGCAGAAACUCAAAACCACUUAUCAGAUCAACAAGUCAUAGAGCUUUCUCUCCUUCGACAAGAACUAUAGCCAAUUUCUAAGCCGACCAGCGACAUUAUCCUUCCAAAUAUACUGCAAACAAAUCUGAUGGCGCCCAUUUUAGGUCCAGUGACCUUACUUUAUCAAGCCCAACUAUCCUAUUGACAUGCCACACCAAUACUACCUAGAAAAUCAUGAACUGUGCAAUCCGUGCACCAAUAAGUAACAACUCAAAUGCACCCAAGAUGGAAAAUGGCUCAACUGAGAGAACCGACCCGCGAACUCAACAAGUACCACCACAAUCGCAAGGCUAUGAACCCAUCAUACAUAGUAGAACCAAAAUACACGAAUCUAUCACAAAGGAUCAUAUCCGAUCAUAACCCCGCUGCAAUAUGUGACCCCAUCCAAACAGUGGUCCACAUGAAAUACCUCGAGCCAUAAUGUUGAAUAUCAAUAACCACGCGUAAUGUAUCAUCAAGUGCCCAAUGUGCAUGACCGUAACCACGGAGAAGCAAAUAGCACAAUAUACCACUAUCCGGAGAGAACAUAACCAAGGCGCAAUUAACUAUUUGACACCCCAAUAACCAUCUCGCUCAAAUUUUAUUACAAGACCCAAACAGAACAUAUACCAUCAACUCUGGUCAUCCACAAAUAGAUAAAUAAUCUUCCGAAAGUCCACAAUGACCUAACCAUAACAUAUACCAUCAUUUGGCUAGGUUUGGCCGUAUCUUCACAGCCCAUAACCAUGAAACAAUCUGCUUUUGAGAACUCCCGGUCUCAAAAUCCAUAGAACACGUGAGUCACCAUAUCUGACCCCAACUCCACCACCCGAAUAUCUAACACAUCUCACAUACACAAUCAUCCCACAAGGAAUACUUUUAUAAUUCUUCCGUGCCACAUAGCAAACUAUGAAUAUCAGCAGUCAAUCACCCAAGCGGGUACCGCAAUACCAAUGAAGCAUCUGUAAGUCAACACUCAGUGCACCUUCUGAAAUGCACGCUUUCCUCAGGCAAUACCAAGUAGUAAUAUCAUUAAUCUAGUCAUCUGAAACCGCCCAUGUUGUCUAAGAAUUCAUGCCCUUCCUUUGAAAACUAAAUCGUGACCUUGCACACUCAAAUCUUAAUCCCACACAACAUACCACAUCUAUCAUGAAUAUGAAAAGUACGAUAAUCUCAUAAUCAACUCUAAGUCACAAGCAAACUAUAUACUCAAUUAGUGAGGAACCUUCCAUUUGAUCUCAUCCAGGAGAAAAUCACAACACGUAACAUAUUCCUCAUGCCAGUAGGAAAUAUACACCUCGAACCGUGGUAUAAACCAUUGAGAAUACUUUGAAAUCCAUUUUCACCUAACCAAUCCAUCAGAACUGAAUCACUUUAACUCAACCAAGCCACACAGGUCGCCAAACCUAAGAUUAUUACCACAAAUCACCCGUAGAGACUCACCACAUCAUAAGAACCAAAAGCACCGAGCAUACCAUUACAACACUGAUCGAACCUACUGCCAAGUUGUCUUGUUUCCUUCGAGUUUCUUCUGAAUUGCCUUCAAGUUGAUACUUCUCCUUUCCAAAACACCACGAUCCUGCCCAAAACUCAUCAUAAGAGACCCUAACAUAAAACCACAUCGCCCUAAGGCCCAUAAGCCGUCGUAUUCCUUCUUAAGAAUCCCUAAAAUACUGCAACUGAGACACCUACUCCGAAGAGACCUUCUGUAAAUCUAAUGCCAUUUCCUUCACCUUCCUGAUACUGAAAUGUAAAACCCAUAAUGAUAUAGAAAUACCGCAAGUCCCGACAUUAUCCGAUGCAAAUCUCAGAUUCUAGCCAUAUACAAAUCCGGAAUAUUCUCAAUUGUCAUAUAUAAAUCUUGAAUCUAUUAGAACCUUCUCAAGAGUCAUCCACUCUGCUCAAAUCUCAAUUGCACUGCCCAAGCUGUCCGAACAACCUGUGCCCUAUUAGCACAACAACACCCAAGGAAGUGACCCCGCCUUAACGUGACUGAGCAAAUUCCUACGCCAUGCGCACUACUUCCGUCACGAAUAGCAACUCGAAUCAUCUCAUAAUUUUCAUAUACCCAUAAAGUAUAACAUAAGCCAUAUCCAGAAAUUUCCUUACUCGAGUCAUCCUCAAAUCAACCUUUGCAAGUCAUAUCUGAUUCACAAGUAUGCCUCUAACCGAAGCUAGUACCACAUAAUCGCGCAAUCAAAUCAUCGAUAGCAGACUCCCCCACUUGGUUCAAAGCCAUAGAACAAAACACUUGACAACUCAUAAGGCCCACAAUCUAUUACUAACAUGAUCCCGUACCAAAAUUUAACUCAAUCCUUCACAAGCCCUUGUAACAUAAACCCUCUAAUACCUCAAAUCAUAUGCAAACCUCGUAUUCACCCUCGUGACGGUCAAGUCAACUAUUACAACCGAUCCUACUCAAAUCGCACAAGUAUAACCCACUGGUAGAAAAGAAAGCCUCCACACAGUAUCAUAAGGAUCACACAUCCGUAGAUUAUCCCGCAGGUGAUAACCCACAUGCUUAGCCUCAACUGACAUCUCUCUAUACCCUUUCACAACCACAACUACUACGCAAUAACCUAUUCUUCCUGAGUCUGAAUUCAUCAACAAGACAUGAAAAUCUAAUUCCUUCCACAAUUAAACAACAUGAAGGAUCCUUCAACAUACUCAUAACUCGAGACUAUACAACACAUUAAGACAGAAAUCAAGCACCCAAUAGUCCUUUUUACAUCUCAAGCAAACUAUUCUCAUCACAAUCAAACCUUCUGAACACAUCCCGCAGUCACAUCAUACUCAUCAUAUAGCCAUCCAGCCAUCGUCGAGUCACAAAUUCCACUCAUAGGGAUGCUACCAGACAUAUAAGUCCAAAAGCACGUGCUCACACAACUAAAAUCUCCGUACUCAAGCUGCAGUCAAAACCCGACCUCAAGUCCUCUAGACUGGCCCAUCAUCAGCGCACAGAAAUCAUAUCUCGCACCUCGUCCAUGGAAUCACAAGCCGGCGAUGCACAAUUGAUACUGAGCACUCACAUGCACAUACGAAUGCGUGGAGGGAAUUCAAAGAGUUAUGCUUCAAGCUAAAUCAAUACUGCAUGAUAAGGAAAUAAAGACGGGAAAUUAUCCUAANNNNNNNNNNNNNNNNNNNNNNNNNNNNNNNNNNNNNNNNNNNNNNNNNNNNNNNNNNNNNNNNNNNNNNNNNNNNNNNNNNNNNNNNNNNNNNNNNNNNNNNNNNNNNNNNNNNNNNNNNNNNNNNNNNNNNNNNNNNNNNNNNNNNNNNNNNNNNNNNNNNNNNNNNNNNNNNNNNNNNNNNNNNNNNNNNNNNNNNNNNNNNNNNNNNNNNNNNNNNNNNNNNNNNNNNNNNNNNNNNNNNNNNNNNNNNNNNNNNNNNNNNNNNNNNNNNNNNNNNNNNNNNNNNNNNNNNNNNNNNNNNNNNNNNNNNNNNNNNNNNNNNNNNNNNNNNNNNNNNNNNNNNNNNNNNNNNNNNNNNNNNNNNNNNNNNNNNNNNNNNNNNNNNNNNNNNNNNNNNNNNNNNNNNNNNNNNNNNNNNNNNNNNNNNNNNNNNNNNNNNNNNNNNNNNNNNNNNNNNNNNNNNNNNNNNNNNNNNNNNNNNNNNNNNNNNNNNNNNNNNNNNNNNNNNNNNNNNNNNNNNNNNNNNNNNNNNNNNNNNNNNNNNNNNNNNNNNNNNNNNNNNNNNNNNNNNNNNNNNNNNNNNNNNNNNNNNNNNNNNNNNNNNNNNNNNNNNNNNNNNNNNNNNNNNNNNNNNNNNNNNNNNNNNNNNNNNNNNNNNNNNNNNNNNNNNNNNNNNNNNNNNNNNNNNNNNNNNNNNNNNNNNNNNNNNNNNNNNNNNNNNNNNNNNNNNNNNNNNNNNNNNNNNNNNNNNNNNNNNNNNNNNNNNNNNNNNNNNNNNNNNNNNNNNNNNNNNNNNNNNNNNNNNNNNNNNNNNNNNNNNNNNNNNNNNNNNGGAACAAAGGUCGGAGUCCAACACCAGUAGCCAAUAACAAUUCAUAACAACAUAAUAAAAGUGAUAAAAGAAGUAACUCAGAGAUAUAGUGCUCAGCUCGUUCACAGUUUCAGAAAAUAGGCAUGAUUUUCAAGUAUAUCAGUAAAAACCCAAAUCUUUUAUCGAAAUCACCAAAAUAUGAGCACGUUUGCAAAACUGUGAUUUUUCCCGAAACUUUCAACAGGUAAAUGUUUCAUUUUCAAAUGGCAUGAGGAAAGUAUAUCUCUAUGCCUACAUGUCAAUGUGUAUGAUAAGUCAUGAAUGACGUGAUACCGUACAACAUAAGAAAAAUUCAUCUUUAUGCCUGUAUGUCAAGUGUGCAUGUCGAAUGCAAUGCAACUCAGUGAUAAAACCAUAUGCAUACUCUCAGAGUAUCAAUUCACUCAGUCCUCCCAGUCACUCAGUCCUCACAGUCACUCGGCACUCGCAUUUGGCACUCGCACUCAGUAGGUACCUACACUCAUUGAGGGUGUAUAAACUCCGCUGGGGAUCCUUCAGCCCAAGCGCUAUAACAAGCCAAUCAUGGCAUAAAUCAAUAAAACAUGCUGCGGCGUACAACACGAUCCCAUCAAUAUCCUCACCAUCAGGCCCUCGGCCUCACUCAGUCGUCAAUCUCUCCAGUCUCUCGGGCUCACAAUGUCAUGAAAAUCAGCCCAAAAUGAUGAUGUGAUAUAUUAAUAAAUGGUAACAAAGACUGAGACAUGAUAUGAAAUGAAUGCGUAUGUAAUUGCAAUGUAAGCAAAUAACUCUACAACAUAAAUGACCUCAGUGUGUCCCAACAGGAUAAGCAUAUAGCCUAGACAUGAUUUCUAACAUGGAUCACAGCUCAAUUACUCUAGCACGUAGAGAUUUCAUGGAUACAAAUAAGAUUAGGUAACUACACAGUACCACAGAAAUAACCGAGUCAUAAUUCAUAUGGUGCACGCCCACACGUUGUCACUUGGUAUGUACUACACCUCAACACCAAACACAUACCACAUAUCUUCAUGGAUUCAUACCCUCAGCACCAAGUUUAGAAGUGUUACAUACCUCGAACAAGCCAAAUCCAAUACCGAGAAAGCCAAGCGAUGCUCUAAAAGUUUCAUCCUGUGCGUACUGACUUCCAAACGGCUUGAAACUAGCCAAAAAUAACUCAAAUACAUCAAAUAAUGCCAAAGAAAGUAAACCCUAUCGAUUAAGGUCGAAUCUUUACUCAAAAGCCCAAAAUCAACCAAAAAGUCAAACCCAAGCCCGCACCUCAAAACCCGACAAAACUCACAAAAUCCGAUAACCCAUUCAUUUACGAGUCCAACCAUACUAGUUUCAUCCAAAUCCGACUUCGAAUCGAUGUUAAAAACUCAAAAGCUCUCUCUAUGAAACUUUAGGCUAAAACCCCAAAUUUCUCUUUAAAAUUUAUAGUCCAAUUACCAACAAUGAAGAUAGAAUCACGAAAUAUAAUUAAAACCGAGUAUAAAACACUUACCCCAAAUUCUUGUGAUGAAAUUUCUCUCCAAAGUCGCCCAAAACCGAGCUCCAAGUCUCAAAAUGGGAAUAAAAUGACCAACCCUCGAAAAUAUAGCUUCUGCCCAGCGAUGAUCGCAUUUGCGAACAAAAUUUCCGCUUCUGCGGACCUGCACAUGCGGCCCAAUCUUUGCUUCUGCGAACAAAACCUGCGGAACACCACUUCGCACCUGCACGCCCGCAGGUGCGGCUCUGCCAUCUCACCUGCACCAUACCUCGCCCCUGCGACCCAAGGCACUGCUCUGUGCUUCCGCAGGUGAGGCCCACUUCUCGCAUUUGCGGAGCUCUGCUUCCUGUUCCGCUUCCGUUCCCGCGCCUUCUUUGUCGCUUCUACGACCAUCGCACCUGCGCAAAUUCAACCGCAUGUGCACAACACCAAAACCAGCUCCUCUCCAGCAAUUCAACAUGAAACAAAAAUGAUCUGAACCUCGUCCGAAACUCAUCCGAGCCACUCGGGAUCCCGUCCAAAUUUACCAACAAGUCCCAUAACAUAACACGGACCUACUCAAGGCCUCAAAUCACAGAUAACAACAUCAAAAUGACGAAUUGCACCUAAAUUUGAACUCAAAUGAACUUUGAACUUUCAACUUCCAAAACUCACGUCGAAACAUAUCAAAUCAACCCGGAAUAAACUCAAAUUUUGCACACAAGUCCCAAAUGACAUAUCAAAGCUAUUCCAAUUCCGGUCAAACUUAUGAACUUUCUAAACCUUUAAAUUUCCAACUUUCGCCAAUUAGUGCUGAUUCCUUCUAGGUUCAUCCAAAUGCAAAUCCGGGCAUACGGCCGAUUGCAAAAUCACCAUUCGGGCCUAACAGAACCAUCAAAACUCCAAUUUGAGGUCAAACACUAAAAGUCAAACUUGGUCAACUCUUCCAACUUAAAGCUUAAAUCAUGGAAUUCAUUCUUCCACUUCGAUUCCGAUUAACCUGAAAACUAAAACCGACGAUUCAUACAAGUCAUAAUACAUCAUAUGGAGUUACUCAUGCCCUCAAACUACCAAGCGAAGUACAAAUACUCAAAACGACCGAUCGGGUCGUUACAAUUUUCAACAAUACCGACUGAAUUCGGUCGAUAGGUUUAUUUUAUGUCAGAAUAUUUGGUCAAAGUGCGUUGAAAAUUACCGACCGACUUCGGUCGGAAAUAUCGACCGUCUGCGGUCGAUAGCCGUUAGCGACCAUUAUAUUUUCGACGAAUUACAAACGAACGGAAAUCAGUCAGUUUUUGUUCUAUUCCGACUGAUUUCGAUCGAUUUUGCUGGACGCUUUUUUUCAAUUUUUUAGUAGUGAAGUCUGAUAACUCUCCACAUUUUGCAACCUAAAGAAAUACUUUUGGCAAAAAUUAAAUAUUUUGGACCAAAAUGAAGCUUGGCCAAAUAGGCUAUUAGCCGGAGUCUUUUCAGGGAGUUUUGUUGUCAUUCACCCAUUAAAAUAAAUGGGAAAUAAGUUAACGCCAUUACAGCGAGAUGCUUUAGGGUGUUAUUCUUGAAAAAUAAAGUAGUUUAAAAAUUAAAACACCCUAGAGGAUUUUUAAACUCUCUUUUUUCCUAAAACUUGAGCUUUCUUUUCUACUAAUGUCGUAAAACGAAAUAAAUGUAAGCUAUUGUAUUCUCCUUUUGUUUUCCAAAACAGAAAGCACUUAACAUCAAUAGGAAAUCCUAACAAGGCCACAAUAUUCUCCUUUCCUCCUUCCCAUGUCCUUUGUUUAUGAGGUGGUAAAAUCUAGAAGAAGGUAAAUUUUCUAGUAACCAUAACAGUAAAAGUUAUUUACAACAAAGAGCAAAUCUUGACAUUUGAAUCACAAGUCAAGUCGUGAUUGGGACAAGAAAAUAGAAAGUUAAAUACACUCCAGAUCAAGUCGUGAUUGGAAUGAGAUAAUAGAAAAGUAUGAUAGUACAUGAGUAACGUGUUGGAACUUAAGGGAAGGAAAGAAAAAUAACUGACGAAAUAUCCAAGUAUUCUUUAGUCUUUACAUUCAAAUUUGAAAGUUAUUUAACGUCAUCGAGAUGACGGCCAUGUUCAAGUUUUCCACAAAUAUUGAGAAAAGAAAGAAGAAGACACACACACACUGUGUUUGGUUUUAUUAUAGUUUUUUUUCUUUUAGAGAAUUGAUUGUACAAAGUAUAUAAGAAAUAUAAUAUAAGAUUUAGAAAUAAGAUUAUUAGAAAAAACAAACACCAAAAAGUAUUUAUUUUAAAUUCUUUUUCCAAUGGACAUUCCCAUUCUGAAACAAAAGAGAUAUAAAUAUCGAAGCAAAGAUUAAUCAGAUCGUCAAAUGUAGAAAAAAUAUUAGAAGAAUUAUCACGGACCAAAAUUCAACUAGCCGUGAUGGCACCUAACCUCACAUGCUAGGUAAGUCAAAUAAUAACAAUCCGAUUCAAUUAAUAUUUAACUGAUUUUAAUACACUCUCCAAGGUCUGGUAGUACAAAUCAUGAGCUUCUAAGAUUAGAAUUUACAAAACUGGUGUGAAAUAAAAAUACGCCGUCUCUCUGAAGUAUACAUGAACAUAUUAAAAAUUCUAAAGCUACCAGGAACAAGAGGCAGCAAUGAUUGGAACACAGGUACAUCUUCAGAUCCAACCCUCGCCGUACGCAACUACAUCAGCAUCAGAAAUCUGCACGCAAGGUGCAGAAGUGUAGUAUGAGUACAACCGACCCCAUGUACUCAAUAAGUAACAAGACUAACCUUUGGGCAGAAAGUAGUGACGAGCUCAACAGGUACAGUCCAGUAUAAAAAUAACAGUACAGAAAUGUAGGCAUGCUUUCAAGUUCAACAGUUAAACUAAGUACAAGUAAAAUAGAUAAAUUCAGCAUGAUAUGGAGAAUAUGACAUCUCUAUAUCUACAUGCCAAAAUAUAUGUUGUACAUGAUGUACCAUAAUGGAAACCUCGUGUACUCACACUCUCAGAAUACUCAAUCACUCAGUAUUGUAUAUGGCCAAUUCAACCCAGGGGAAGAUUCAUCCCCAAAUAUAAAUGAUUCGGACAAGAUNNNNNNNNNNNNNNNNNNNNNNNNNNNNNNNNNNNNNNNNNNNNNNNNNNNNNNNNNNNNNNNNNNNNNNNNNNNNNNNNNNNNNNNNNNNNNNNNNNAAACACAAUUUAUAGGAAUUAAUUCCAUAUAAAAAUAUUAAUUUUCCAACAAAAUUCAAAAUUACACUCAAAAAUCGCCAGUGGGGCCCACGUCUCGGAACCCAACAAAAGUUACAAAAUAUGAACGACCAUUCAACCGCGAGUCCAACCAUACCAAAUUUACCAAAUUCCGACAUCAACUCGACCCUCAAAUCUUCAAUUUAACCUUAAGGGUUUUUAUAAUUUUUCCAACUUAAAACAUCAAUUAAAUGCUAAAAAUAGCAAUAGAUUCGGGUAAUUUGACCAAAAUUGAGUUAAGAAUACUUAUCCCAUUGUUUUUCUUGAAAAUAUCCCGAAUAUUGCCUCUCCCCGACCUCCAAAAUUGUUAAAAAUAGAAAAUGGGACAAAGUCCCAUUUUCAGAACAUAAAUCUGCUGCCCAGGGGUUUGUUCUUCGUGUUCGCGACCGUCCUCUCGCGUUCGCGAUGAACAAAUACCUCAACGGCCAUUUCCAAACUCUUCCCAAACAGCCUCUAGUAUAAUGGUCAUAAACUUUUGUACAAAACUCAAAAUGACAAAUGGUUUAACUUUCUGAAAACUAUUCAUCAAGGGCCACAACCUUCAUGUUUUGAUCAUCUCCCAUUUCUUUAUAGAUUGCGAGAUAUAAGCUUCCAAAGUUGGACGACGGACAACAGGAAUUCCUUCUUCGCGAAUGCGAAGAACAAAAUCCUAGAAGCCAAAUCUUUCUUCGCAAACGUGAGAGGAUCCUCGCAAACGCGAAGAACAAACCCAGACAUCAGAAAACCAGCAUCCAAAGUAGCCCAAAAUGAUCCGACAACACCCGAAACACACCCGCGGCCCCCGCGACCCCAAUAAUAUAUACUAACAAGUCCUAGAACAUUAUACGAACUUAGUCGAGACCCCAAAUCACAUCAAACAAAGCUAAAACUACGAAUCACACCCCAAUUCAAGCCUAAUAAAAACUAACAAAUUCCAACUUCUACAUUCGAUGCUGAAACCUAUCGAAUCAAGACCGAUUGACCUCAAAUUUUGCACACAAGUCAUAAAUGACAUAACAGACCUAUAAAAAUUUUCAGAAUUGGAUUCCGACCCCGAUAUCAAAAAGUCAACUCUCCGGUCAAACUUUCAAACUUAAUUUUUCUACUUUCGCCAUUUCAAGCCUAAUUUAACUACGGACUUCCAAAUGAUUUUUCGGACACACUCCUAAGUCCAAAAUCACCAUACAUAGCUAUUGGAAUCAUCAAAACUCUAUUCCGGAGUCGUUUGCAUAAAAGUCAAAACUUCGGUCAACCCUUUUCAUUUAAGUUUCCAACAUGAAAUUUAUUUUUCCGAACUAAUCCCAAAACACCUAAAAUAUCAAAACCGACGAUUCACACACGUCAUAAUAUAUCAUAUAAUGCUAUUCAAGACUUCAAAUAGUUGAAAGGAGUGUAAAUGUUCAAAACAACAAGUCGGCUCAUUAAAUUCUCCCCCACUUAAACAUACGUUCGUCCUCGAACGUGCCAAGAGUUGUUCUUAAGCCCUUAAAUCACUGUUCCACCUUACCACGCACAUACCCGGGGGUGAUCCCUCGUCACCCUAUUCCAUAUAGGUCUGACCACACAACAUAAAUAAAGAUCAUUAAUUUAACAUUGGCCCGUAAACCUUGGAAUUCAAUUUCCAACAUUCAGAAUUUCUUUUCAAGACCCGAAUAUCACAUCUACACACUGUAUAAAUCUAAACAAAUUGUAUCAAGCCAUAACCAUAACCCAAGAUGUAAUCACAUGAUAUACCACACAACUCGCAUACUCGCAGCACCAUUCCCGAUCACAGUAACUAUUCAAAACCAACCCGGUACUAGUAUUAAACCCCAUAUCAAACAAAACCUCAUUCCCAAAACCUUCAUACAUUGCCGAUAAUAAAAGAAACACACGAAAUCUCAUAACCACUUAUCAGAUCAACACAUCAUGGAGCUCUCUCGUCCCAACCAGAACCAUAAUCACUUUCUAAGCCGACUUUCGAUAUUAUUCUCCCAAAUAUACUGCAAUCAAACCUGAUAGUACCCAUUAUAGGUCCAAUGACCUAUUAUCAAACAAAACUAUUCCACGGACAUGCCACGCCAAUAUAACUCAAGCCACAAACUGCACAAUCCGUGCACCCAAAAAUAGGAAAUGUCUCGAAAAAGAGAACCAUUUCGCAAGUUCAACAAGAACCACUACAAUCGUAAUGCUAUGAUCACAUCAUACAUAGUAGAACCAAGACACACGAAUCUAAUAACGGUAACUAGCUCUUCUAGAGCUCACAUUAACAUCAACCGCACAGAUAACUCACGUGCUAUAGUAUCAAUAUCUGGACCCCGCACGGAUAGCUCAUGUGCUAAUAACAUAAAUGUCUGGACCCGCACGGAUAACUCACGUGCUAAUAAUAUCAAUCGCCUGACAUGGUCACAGGCCUCCAGUCUAAGCAUAUCAUAUAUGAGCAAUCAAAUAAGUACACAUGUAUAUGAUAAAUGAAAUAAAAUUCACAUGCUCCUGGACUGGUAUAAAUAACACGCCAUAGAGUAGGCAUGUGCAAAGUGUGCUAUCACAACUCAAAUCGACAAGUUAACGCAGAAAUAGUAGCUACCAAGUUUAUUCAGGGAAUUAGCCUCUUUGUAACCUUAAGUAUAGCCCAAAUAGUUCUCAACAAAGGUACGAAUACGAGAAAUAUUAUAGCUUUACCCUUAAUAAUCUGCUCUGGCAUAUCAUAGCCUAAGCAUUCUUCCGAGUAUAAAUACCUGCCCUGAUGCCCGCAUAUAGGCUCAAACCUCACAUAUAUGCGCACUCAUAGCGCGUAGCUAUCACAAAUAAUUAACGCAACUAGUGCCUCCACUGAGUUUAAAUAAAAUACUCACCUCAAACAGGUCGCAACCCUUAAAAUAGUAUGCUUCUGAGAACACAUAGUCUCCAAAUUCAUAGGACACAUGAAUCAUCGUAACUGGUCCUAAUUCCAUCACUCGAAUGACUAACACAUCUUUCAUGAACGAUCUUCCCACUAGGAAUACUUCCAAAAUUCUUUGGUGCCACAUAGCAAUAAUUUGAAUAUCAACAGUCUAUCAACCAGGUGAGUAUCACAAUACCAAUGAACAUCCAUAAGUCAAAACACAAUGCGCCUUCUGAAAUGCGCACCCUUCUCAGAUAUUGCCGAGCAGUUAUAACAUUCAUCUAAAUAUCUAAAACCGACCAUUCUGUCCAAAAUUUGUGACCUUCCCUUCAAGACUGAACUGCCAUCUUGUACAUGUAAAUCUUAAGCCUGCACAACACACCAUAUCUAUUAUGCCAUCAUGUGAAAAGCAUGAGAAUCCCAUUAUCAAAUCUGAGUCACCAACAAAUUACAUACUCGGUUAGUUAGAAACCUUCCAUUUGCUCCCAUCCUAGAGGAAAUCACAAUACACAACAUAUUCCUCACGUUUGUAGGAUAUAUCCAUCUCACACCGUGAUAGAAACCAUCAAGAACUCUUCAAAACUCAUUUGCGCAUAACCAAGCUAUCAGAACUUAAUUCCUGUAACUCGACCAAGCCACACAGGUUGCCAAGUCCGAGAAUAUUUCCACAAAACACCCGUAAAGCCUCACCAUAUCAUAAGUACCUAAAAGAACCGAGCAUACCAUUACCAUACUGAUCCAGCAUGUUACACAUUUGUCCUAUUUUCUCCGAGUUUCUUCUGAUUUACCCUCAAGUUGACACUUCUCCUUGUCAUAACACCACGAUCCUUACACAAAGAACCACCAGAGAUCCUAGCAUAAACUACAUCGCCCUAAGGCCCAUAAGUUGUUGUAUUCCCUCUUAAGCACCACAAAAGUACCACAAUCGAGACACCCACUCUGAAAAGACCAUAUGUGAAUUUAAAUUAUUCUUUUUAUCUUUCCUAUAUUGAAAUGUAGAAUCCAUAGUCAUACAGAAUUACCGCAAGUCCCGACACCAUCUAGUGUAAAUAACAGAUUCUGGCGAUAUACAAAUUCCAAAAAAAAUUCAAUUGACACAUAUACAUUUUGAAUCCAUUAGAACCCUUUUGAAAGUCAUCGACUCUGCUCAAAUCUAAAUUGCACCACCUGAACGGGCCGAAAGACACAAGCCUCGUUAGUACUCCAAUAUUUCUGUUGACUUAGUGGCAAUCUCCUUCCAUUCCCUUGUCGCCUCCAUGUUCACUUUGUCCUGCUCCAGAUGUUUAUCUUCAGACUCGAACACUCUUUUGUGUAGCCUCUUAUACUUAACUUGUGCCUCGACCACUUUGUCUAUAAUUCUAUCCUUUAGAUUGACUCAUGGCUUGACGUCUCCUGCUACGUCAUCUUCCAGCGAUGAUAGAUAGUAGUACAAAUGACCAGCGUGAUACCUGUCUGGCUUGAUAGUUUCUCUUUCCACAAUGAUCUUUUGGUUCCACAUAUGUUGCGCCUCGAGCUUGAAUGGAAUGACGUCUCCCUUGAAAUCUACUUUGUACUCGACCAUGUUGGAAACCCGAGGUAUGACUUGUUUCCUUCCAGGUUGUCUCAUUACCCUUAUAGGAGCGUAAGGAUAGAUGCCUCACAACCCGAUCAGUACCAAAUGAAUAGUCCCCCUUGACCUGAUGAUGAACUCGCUACUAGGAAACCAUUCAAACAUCCAAUGUACUUGCCCGUCUAUCAGAUUGCUGAAGAAACACACACAACUUACAGCAUUUCCAGGCUGUGCAAACCUGUCUGGAAUAAACAUCAUUUUCUUUAGGUGAUGGUUGGCUAUGUAGUCAUUUAGUGGCCUUCACAGAAGCUAUUGACGAUACUCGCCCCUCUGAAAGUGCUCCAGCAGCCAGACUUGUAGAAAUAAAUUACAACCCUCAAAGUGUCUGAAUCCCUGCUUGCACCGAUCUAGAGCGCGGUACAUCUCAGCUAAGAUCAUAGGGAUGAUAGUGCAAGUUUGGCCCUCGAUGCCAUCCAUUAAGGUCCUGGCGACCAUGGCUAAACAAGUAUGAAUCCUUCCUCCUUUCAUUGGAAAUAUCAACAAACCCAAGAAGCAGACCAUGAACACAUAAACCCGGCGGUGCACCCAUCCCAAGGAAGUAAUAGCUAGUUCAUCAUGGUGAAGACGAUAUGACUUGCUAUGCCCAUAACGUCGGUAAAGAAACUCAAAAGGGAUGUAUGAUUUCUUUAGACAGAGCAGUUCAUCAUUCUUCUUAAAACCCAAUAUUUUUAGGAAAUCGCGGGGAGUAUGAUUCUCUUGUACCAGUAAUUUCGGACUAUCCCAUGGAAGCUUGGCGAAACCUCCUAUUUCAUCUAGGAGAGGAGUCAUUUAUAUAUUGACAAACUGGAAAAUAACUCUUUUCUCAUCCCAAAACAUGGUAGCGGCCUCGAUCAACUCCCUAUUUGGUCAAACGUUCAUCAAAUAUGGCAGGUCACCAAGCACUAUCCUCACAUGAUUUUUAUCACAAGGUGCAAGGUCUUUCCACCAGUCAAGUAGAAAAGGUGGGAUGUUUUGGAUCAUAUCGAACCUGGGGAUUUCGUGCUUCAUUUUCUGCAAACAAACAAAUGUUAGCCCUUUCCCCCUCCAGAUUUGACUACUUACGCAAUAAUGAUCAACUUGUUGGCACAUUUUCUCCAAGUAAUUCACAUAAUAUGAUAGUGUCCAUCGGGAUUAUGGAAAUCUCAUCGGACUUUGGACAAGGUUCAUCUUAGCGGGUUGUUACAUUAACAACACUUCAACCCGUACUAGGUUUAGCAUGAUGCAUGUACAUUUCAAAUUAGAGUAGAAUUUCUAGAAGGGUCGACUGGUACUCCCAAGUGGACAACUUGAGAGGGAAAGGCAUGGGAUCAUCGACUGCAUCACUGAUCGACUAGUCUACAGCAAGUAAGCCUUUCCAAUUUAAAAAGGGUGAUUUCAGGAAAGCAUGGACACUCAUCAAGCGCCGCUAUGUUGACAAUUGGCAUGGGUAGAGUAUGAUGUAGAGCAUGCUUUAUGCAGAAAUAAUAACAUGUUGCCAAGUAUUUGCACAAUAAAAGUACGUAAAAGAAGUAAAUAAAAUAGUGAAGUGAACAUGAAAAGAAGAAAAGAAAGACAAAAGAAAGAAGUCAGUUUAGCUCAUGAAAAUAUGCGAGAACGUAAUGAAGCAUGUAAGGAUAUAGGAAUGGGAGAGUCAUAAUAUAGCAGUCUUAGACAAGAUAAAAAGAGAUGGAGAGAGGUCAUAGCAAACAAAGGAGAGUAAGGGAAGGGAUGUGCAUGCUAUAGCAAAUUUAAACAAAUAAAAAUGAAUAAGGGAGGGGAUGUGCAUGUCAUAGAAAUUUUAAAACAAACAAAGGUGAAUAAAGAAAGGGAUGUGCAUGUAAUAGUAGUUUUAAAACAAAUAAAUAAAACAAAGCAUUCCAUAUAAGUCAAGUUCAUUAUGGUAAAAGCCUAAGUAUCCCCAGCAGAGUCGUCAUGCUGUCGCGCCCCAUUUUCUCGCGAAAGUGGGAUUCGACGUGUGAAAACUCUUUUAAAAGAGGUAUUAAAAGAGAAGAGUCGCCACCUAAUGAUUUUGAGGUGCGUUAGGGCACCUAUUUACAAAUAACUCUGUUUGACUAGUCAACGCCACCAAAGAUCGGGUAAGGGCUUAAAUUACCUCAAAGAGAAGGUGUUAGGCUCUCUUUGAGGUACACAACUGUGGGUCCCGGCCGAACUUUAGACUACGUGGAUUAUAUAGUUAAGCUAGGUGAUCAAAUAAAUAGAAAGGAAGUUCAGAAGUCGUAGAGUCUUGUUAAAACAUAUGAGAGUCGACAUAAGUCUCAAUAACUACGUAGGUACAAACCACGUUGAUCUAUGUUAAGUAUGGAUAACAUGCACGUAAAUAAAGGGGGUCCUAAGUUGUUUAGCCUAAUGGAUCACCCCGUGCAACAUAAAUAGUACUUUGCAACUCCCUUUAGGUAGGGGUUGCUCAUAUUAUUCAGCGGGCACAGGCUAUCAUCUCCUGCUACCCGAUUACUAUGUUGAAGUUUCAUACGAGGUUCAGAUCAUUCUUGUUUCAUGUUGAAUUGCUGAAGAGGAGCUGAUUCUGGUGUUGCACACCUACGGUUGAAUUUGUGUAGGUGUGAUGGUUGUAGAAGCGACAAAGGAGUCGCAGGAGCAGAAGCAGAACCGGAAGCAAAGCUCCACAGAUGCGAGAAGUGGCCGCACCUGCGAAAGCAGUGCCUUGGGUCGCAGGGGUAAGGUAUGGCGCAGGUGCGAUGGAAGAGCAACACCUGCGGGCGCACAUGUGCGAAGUGGUGUACCGCAAAAGCAAUGGCUUCUGAGUUUGGUUUGUUCGUAGAAGCAAAGAUUGGGCCGCAUGUGCUGGUCUGGAGAUGCGGAAAUUUUGUUCGCAAAUUCGAUAAUCGCUGGGCAGAAGUUAUAUUUUCGAGGGUUGGUCAUUUUAUUCCCAUUUUGAGACUUGGAGCUCGAUUUUGGGAAACAUUGGAGAGGAAUAUCAUCACAAGGAUUUGGGGUAAAUGUUUUAUACUCUGUUUGGAUUAUAUUUCGUGAUUCUAUCUUCGUUGUUGGUAAUUGGACUAUGAAUUUUAAAGAGAAAUUGGGGGUCUUAGCCUAAAGUUUUAUAGAGUGAGUUUUUGAGUUUUGAAUAUCGAUACGGAGUCGGAUUUGGAUAAAACUAGUAUUGUUUGACUCGUAAUUGAAUGGUUUGUCGGAUAUUGUGAGUUUUGUCGGGUUUCGAGGUGCGGGCCUAGGUUUGACUUUUUGGUUGAUUUUGGGCUUUUGAGUAAAGAUUUGACCUUUAUCGAUUGGGUUUAUUUCCUUUGGAAUUAUUUGAUGUAUUUGAGUUGCUUUUGGCUAGUUUCGAGUCGUUCGGAGGUCAGUACACACAGGAUAGCACUUUUGGAGCAUCUCUUGGCUUGCUCGGUAUUGGAUUUGGCUUGUUCGAGGUAAGUAACACUUCUAAACCUGGUGCUGAGAGUAUGAACCCCUGAAUAUACGUGGUAUGUGUUUGGUGUUGAGGUGACGCACAUGCUAGAUGACGGGCGUGCACCGUAUGAAUUAUGACUCGGUUAUUUCUGUGGUACUGUGUAGUUACCUAAUCUUAUUUGUAUCCAUGAAAUCUCAACGUGCUAGAGUAAUUGAGCUGUGAUCCAUGUUAGAACCAUGUCUAGGCUAUAUGCUUAUCCUGUUGGGACCCACUGUGGUCAUUUCUGCUUUUGAGUUAUUUGCUUACAUUGCAAUUACAUACUUAGUCAUACGCUUUCAUUGCAUAUCACAUCUCAGUCUCUGUUACCAUUUAUUGAUACAUCACAUCAUCAUUUUGGGCUAAUUUUCAUGAUAUUGUGAGCCCGAGAGACUGGAGAGAUUGACGACUGAGUGAGGCCGAGGGCCUAAUGGUGAGGAUAUUGAUGGGAUCGGGUGGCAUACCCGCAACAGGUAUUAUUGAUUUAUGAUGGGAUAGGGAUGCACGCCGCAACAUGAUUAAUUGAUUUAUGCCAUGAUGGGACUUUUAUAGCAUUUGGGCUGAAGGAUCCCCUUCGGAGUCUGUACACCUCCAGUGAGCGCAGGUACGAGUGUCGAGUGCGAGUGUGAGUGUCGAGUGUGAGUGCCGAGUGCGAGUGCCGAGAGCGAGUGUCGAGUGAAUGGGAGGAUUAAGUGAAUGUGAGGACUGAGUGACUGGGAGGACUGAGUGAUUUGGUACUCUGAGAGUAUGCGUAUGGUUUUAUCGCUGAGUUGCAUUGCUUUCGACAUGCACACUUGACAGACAGGAAUAUAGAUGCAUUUUCCUCAUGCUGUACGGUAUCACGUCAUUCAUGACUUUUCAUACACAUUGACAUGUAGGCAUAGAGAUGUACUUUCCUCAUGCCAUUUAAAAAUGAAAUAUUUACCUAUUGAAAGUUUUAGGAAAAAUCACAGUUUUACAAACGUGCACAUAUUUUGGUGAUUUCGGUAAAAGAUUUAGGUUUUCACUGAUAUACUUGAAAAAUAUGCCUAUUUUUCGAAACUUUGAACGAGCUGAGCACUAUAUCUCUGAGUUACUUCUUUUAUCACUUUUAUUAUGUUGUUAUGAACUGUUGUUGGCUACUGGUGUUGGAUUCCGACCUUUGUUCCAGCUCAUCACUACUUUCAACCUAAGGUUAGAUUUGUUACUUAUUGAGUACAUGGGGUCGGUUAUACUCAUACUACACUUUUGUACCUUACAUGUAGAUGUUGGAUGCUGUUGUAGCUGCGUACAGCGGGAGCUGGAUAUAAAGAUGCACCUGCGUUCCAGUCAUAGCUGCCUCUCGACCUUGGUUGCUUUAGAAUUUUAAUCUGUUCAUGUAUAUUUCAGACAGAUGAUGUACUUUAUUUCAUACCAACUUUGUAAAUUCUAAAUCUUAAAAGCUCAUGAUUUGUACUACAUGUCCUUGGGAAAUUCUUGUAUAAAUGUAGUUGUAUUAUCAUUCUUUUCUUAAUAAAUCUCAUAAAAUUGGAUAGUUGUUAAUUGUCUUACCUGAAGGGUUGGGUCAGGUGCCAUCACGACUAGUUGGAUUUUGGGUCGUAUUAUUCCUUAUUUGUUUUUUCAAACAAAGUGUUCAAUUCCGACCGAAAUCGGUCGGUAUUAUUAAAAUAUUUAAAAUUUAAUAUCAAAAAUUCUGACCGAAUUCGGUCGGUAAAUUUAAAGUUCUGGGAAAUCAAUUGAACAUUUUCAACCGACUUCGAUCGGUAGACGGUCAGUUUUCUGGGUAAGGUUUUGGAAAAAUACAACUAUUUUAUAGUGUAAUGACCCGACCAGUUGUUUCGAGAGUUAUAGCCCCAUUCCCCCAUUUAUUGCUCAUUAUUUGCUUUAUAGCUGUUAUGUGACUUGCCGGGAUGGGCGGUUCGUGUCUUGGAGAGAUUUUGAAAUGAAUUGAGACACUUAGUUUCAAAGUUGGAAGCUUAAGUGGAAAAGGUUGAUCGAAUGUUGACUUAUGUGUAAGCGAAUCCGGAAUGGAGUUUUGAUAGUUCCGUUAGCUCCGUUGGGUGAUUUUGGACUUAGGAACAUGUCCAGAUUGUGAUUUGGAGGUCCAUAGUUGAAUUAGGCUUGAAAUGGCGAAAGUUGGAAUUUGAAAGUUUGCCUGAGAGUGGACUUUCUGAUUACCGGGCUUGGAAUGGAGUUCUAGGAGUUGGAAUAGAUCCGUGGUGUCAAUUGUGACUUGUGUUCAAACUUUGGAGUCAAUCGGACGUGAUUUGAUAGGUUUCGGCGUCAUUUGUAGAAAUUUGAAUUUGCUUAGUUUCAAUAGGCUUGAAUUGGGGUGCGAUUCAUGUUUUAGAUAUUGUUUGAGGUUAUUUGAGGGCUCGACUAAGUUCGUAUCGUGUAUUAGACUUGAUGGUAUGUUUGGUUGAGGUCCCGGGGGCCUCGGGUGAGUUUUGGAUUAUUGACGGAUCAAUUUUGGACUUGGAAGACUACUGAAGAAUUUAUGUUGUCCAGUUCUGGUUUCCUCCUUCGCUUUUGCGAUGGGAGUCCCGCAUUCGCGAAGGGUAGCUGAUGGCAGGUGAGGAUUUGUUCUUCGCGUUCGCGAAGAGGGAGACGCAUUCGCAAAGAGGGAGACACAUUCGCGAAGGUCGGCAUAGUUGGUGCAUCGCUAACGCGAGAAGGGGAACGUGUUCGCGAAGAGGAAAGGAGGCAGCUGGGACCCCACACAUUAGGUCUACGUGUUCGCGUAAGGUAGGUCACGUUCGCGAAGCAUGGGGUCAGCAAGGCCUCGCGUUCGCGAGUGGUGCCUCGCAUUCGCGUAGGAGGCUUUUGGGCAGCAGAUUGAUUUGUGCCAUGCAAGCGCGAGAAGGGGGUCGUGUUCGCGAAGAAGGGUUACCUGGGCAGAUUAAAAAUUUCAAAAAUGAGGGUUUGAGUUCAUAACACAAAAUUGAUUUUGGGAGCUCGGUGGGAGGCCAUUGUUUUUGGAGAGAUUUUGAAGUGGGUGAUUGGUUAAUUUCCAUGAUUAUGUCUUUGAUUUCAUUUUUUAAUUAGUGAUUGGGGGGUAGAAAAAUUGGGCCAAAAUGGAGGAAUGUUCUUAAGCCGAAUUUUGAGGUUUUGAUAGAGAUUUUGGUAUCGAAUUUAAGUAAUUUUGGUAUGGUUGGACUCGUGGUUGAAGGAUGUUUUGAUUUUGUGACUUUCACCCCGUUCCGAGACGUGUGCCUGGGAUCCAGCUUUUGAGUUGAUUUUUUGACUUUCGAUUAAGAGCUUAGUAUUUUCUUAUGAAAUUUAUUCCUUUAGCUCGUGUUGAUUGUAUUGAAUUGUUUGUGACUAGAUUCGAGGUAUUCAGAGGCCGUUUCGUAAGGCAAGGGCAUGUUGGAGUAGAGAUUUGUGCGGUUUGAGGUAAGUAAUAGUUCUAAAUUUGGUUCUGAGGGUAUGAAAUCCCAUAAUAUAUGUCAUGUGAUUUGUUUUGAGGAGACGCACAUGCUAGGUUACGGGCAUGUGGGCGUGACCGUAGGAAUUAUGACUUGGUCAAUUCCAUAGAGCUGAAUAGUUGAAAAAUCUUUUGUUAUCCGUAUAUUCUCCAUGUGCUACAGAAAUUGAACUGCAAAUCAUGUUAGAAAUUAUGUUUAGACUAUGAGUUGGCACUGUAGGGACCCACAUAGGUCCUGUAUAUGUUGAAUUAUCUGCUAAAUUGUUGUUUGUACUCAGUCACAGUUUUACUUGAUUAUUACAUCUCAGUCUCUAUUGUUCAUUAUUGAUAAAUUAUAUCAUUGCUGUCUGGGCUGAUUAUCAUGAUUACUAAGAGCCCGAGGGGCUGGAGAGGUUGAUGACUGAGUGAGGCCGAGGGCCUGAUUUUGUGGGGAUAUUAUAGAAUCGGGCUGCACGCCGCAGCAUAUAUCAUUGAUUUAUGCCAUGAUUAGUUUGUUAUAGUGCUUGGGCUGAAGGAGUGUCACGCCCUGAACUCGGGGAUUGCGACCGGUGCUCAACCGAGUGAACCCGGUCAAGCAAGCCUGUUAGAUAGUUUCUACCCAUACUCACUUAUGAAUAAAGAUAAUACAUAUUUUCGUUAAUUAGACAAUAAAGAGAUCGUGUAUACAAUACCAAUUCAUUACCAUUAGUUACUUCAUUUAAAAAUCUCAAAUAACACACAUUUUCAUGGUCUGAAGUGGAAGAAUUAAUUCAAACACAAUAUAACUUGUGUUACUUCCCCGACACUAAUAUACAACCCACACUAUAUCUAUGGAGCCUCUAAUAGAUACGAAAGAGUACUAUGAUAGUGCCGGCAACAAGGUCCGGGUCUACCUCAAACAUAAUACACGAGGAACAAAAGAUACAUGACCCCGAAAUGAAGUGGGGCUCACCAAGUCAGCUGGGAAGAGGGUGUACCGCUAUCACUAAUCAAUGUCUCCUGAUGUGGAAUCACCUGCAUCCAUUGAAGAUGCAACACUCCCAGCAAAAGGGACAUUAGUACAUAUGUAAUAGUACUAGUAUGAAUGACAAAACACCCUCUCAAUAGAAUGAUUAAUAAUACAAGCAAGAACAAUCAUAAUAUUAGUGGAAGCCUCAAACAACAUCAAACCUCAAGUUAGGACCAAUACAAUGUUCAAAUAAAUUUCCAUAUUUUAAGUUGGGAGAUGUUUAGUACCAAUAUGCCACCGUUCACAAUGCCACCGUACUUUAAGUACGGAGUCCGAUCACGACCCGAUCAGCUAGGCUGUCUCAUCUGAGACAUCAACCAUAAUCAUAAUUUCAAUUAUAAUUUCCAGCAUAAUCAUCACCAUGUGUGUGGCAUGACAUCCGAUCACGACCCAAUCGGCUAGGACAUCUCACCACAAUGAUGUGUGUAUCGACAUCAUCCUUUUUUUUACCAAUCAUCUCGUUUCAUACUUCUUUCACAUCUUUUCAUUUCAUUGGCACUAGUGGCCACAAUUAUAAAAUCAUUCUUGGCACGUCGACCGUAUUUAGUAAUUCAUGCUCACCUUUUUCACUUUCAAACAUCAUCAACAACAAGGCGUUUCAAAUCAAGGUUUUAGUACAAAUGUGAGCAAUUAAGAGUCUUAGGCACAUAGAGGUUUUUCACAAAAUUUUGCAUAAUAGCCUUCGUUUGAACUUAACUUGAAGUCGAAACAUUUUUAAUGCACAACCCAUACUUUGAACACAUUCUCAAAUGAUAACAUAACAUGAUAAAAGCAUUUGGGAUACACAUUGAACAUAUAUCUUUCAACACAAGCUUAUUUGGAAUAACCAAUUUUAUAAUGAGCAACUCGGGACUUACAUAAAUUACAUGAAUGCCGUGGGAUUCAAUUCUAAGAGAGGAGUUUAGCCAACAUACCUCGAUUUGAGAUUUCCUUAAAUUACUAUAACGUUCCGAAAAUCCUAGUAAUCCCAAUCUAUUUUGAGACAUAACAAAAUUGAACAUAAAUUAGGAAGAUAUUCAUGGUUUCACCUCAUUUGAACAUUUUAUCAAACACUAGGUGUGCAAAUUUGGCUACAAGGUUCUUCUACAUGAUUUCCUUCAUUCCACAACCCAGUCUUUACUUCUUUGAGCUCAACAAUCUUUCCACAAACCUUAUUGGUACAUGCAUGUAUACAUAAUACUCUCACACCCAAGAAUCAUACUCCCAAUCACCCAUCUUUUACCCCAAACUCGAAAUUGAAGAAUUGGGGAAAGGAAUUCUUACAUCUUUGAAGCCCUAGCAAGAUCCUUGUGAAAUCUUCAAGCCUUGAGUAAGAAUUGAUGAACAAAAUGGCUAGGUCUUCUCUUUCUCUCUCUAAGAUACUCUCACCUCUCUCAAAAAAUGUAAGAUGAAACCCUUAAAAAUGACCCCCAAAGCCUUUUAAUAAAAAUGGGACUGGGUUAUAAAAAUCAGAAAAAUGGAUCCCCGUCACAGAUCUGCGGUCGUAUAUGUGACAACAUAAUGCUUUUGCGGUCCGCAAAAUGGACCGCACAAUGGCCUACGGAACUGGGCAAUUAUGCCCCACUCCACGACCGGUCUGUGGUCCGCAGACCUGUUCUGCGGUUGUAUAAUGGACCGCAAAAACUUCUUUAAAAAUUUCUUAUGCUGGUUCUACGAUGGUCCUAAAAUUUAGCUCAAGUUUCUGCUUCACUUUGCGGCAGUUAUGCGGCCCACAGAGUGAUUCUGCGGUCGCAGAAUGAACCAUAGAAAUGCCCUACACUCCCAAAGAUUUUCUUCAACUCCCCAACGCACUAAUCAACCCAAAACGUUCGAGCAUCAUCAAACACGUAAGCCUACCUCGGCACCACGAAACCUUAAAUUCCUUUACAAACUUUUACGGGGCCUUACAAGGAGCCCCUCCGGAGUCUGUGCACACCCCCAGUGAGCGCAGGUACCUACUGAGUACGAGUGUUGAGUGUCGAGUGAUUGAGAAAAUGCGAGACUGUGAGGAAUGAGUGACUGUGAGGUUGUAGUGCAUAGGAGGACUGAGUGACUGUUGCUCUGAGAUUUUGCACUUAAUUUCAUUGCUGUUGUACUUCAGUUGGCAUAUAUCCUUGUUGUAAUCUCUGAGAGAUGUUAUAUUCUAUUUCCAAUUGAACUUGACAUGAAUUAACCAUUUUGGCCUUGAUUGUCGAAUUUGAAAGCAUGCCUAUCUUUUUAUGUAGUAAUUUCUGUAAGUGAACUAUAUCCGUGGAGCUCGUCACUACUUUCAGUCCAUUAUUUAGUCUUGUUACUUACUGAGUUGGUUGUACUCACGCUACACCCUGCACUUCGUAUGUAGAUCCAGUUAUUUCCGGACACUGUGGGUGUUGAUCUCUUUGCGUAUCUUGAUCGUUUGAAGUUUCCAAGGUAGCUUCCCGGCAUUCGCAGACCUUGUCUCUCCUUCCCUAUCUUUCAGGUUUAUGUAUUUAGUUUUAGUGUGCCAUUGACAGUAUUUCUAGACUUGUGUUGUAUAGACGCUCAUGUACUCGGUGACACCCCGAAGUUAAGAAUUUUCGUAUUGGCUUUUGACUUUCUAUCUAGUUUUGAGGGUUUUGAUGAUUUACACAUGCGUUAUCCUUAUUUUUCAUUUAAAAGUGUUGGAAGUAUUUUGAAGUGUCGGCUUGCCUAGUACCACGUUAGGCUCCAUCACGAUAGGCUAUGUUUUGGGUCGUGAUAAGUUGGUAUCAGAGCCUAGGUUACAUAGGUCUCACGAGUCAUGAGCAGGUUUAGUAGAGUCUUGUAGAUUGGUACGGAGACGUCUGUACCUAUAUUCGAGAGGAUACCAAACCCUUAGGAAACUUCACAUUCUUAUAUUCUUGUCGUGCUGACUUCUUGAUUCCGGUAACUAAAGUUCUGCAUUCUAUUGUCUCACAGAUGGAGAGGACACGUGCUACCAGACAAGACGGACAAUUGCUAGUACCACCAGCUAGAGCCACGAGAGGCCAAAGUCACGGUAGGGGCUGUGGUAGGGGCAGGUGUAAAGCUCGCACAACAGUAAGAGUAGCACCUGUAGAUCCACCAAUUGCCCCAACUCGGGAGUAGGUUCCAGAUGUGGUUAAGCCAGUAGGGCCAGCUUAGGCACCAGUUGUGCCCAUUGUGAUUCCAAGCCUUCGGUAGGCUUUGGCCCAGAUAUUGACUGUUUGCACUGGCCUUACUCAGGUAGUUUCGGCUCAGGCUACACCAGUCACUUGUCAGGCCGAGGGAGGUACUCAUACCCCCUCCGCCCGUACUCCAGACCAUGUGAUGCAGGGACUUCACAUACCGGGGGUACUACCAGCCCAGCCGAUUGUAGAUGCUCAGGCCCAGGUAGGCCCCAUUAUGACUGAUGAUGAGCAGAGGAUACUAGAGAGAUUUGGGAGGCUGCAGCCUCCAGCAUUCGGUGGGGCCGAUUUUGAGGAUGCCUAGGACUUUUUGGACAGGUGCCAGCGGAUUCUUCGCACGGUAGGUAUCUUGAGACCGGUGGGGUCUCAUUCACUACUUUUUAGUUUACUGGGACUGCCUUCAGAUGGUGGGAGGCUUAUGAGAGGCGCACGCCAGUCGGUGCAGCACCACUUACAUGCGUGAGUUCUCCGUUCUCUUCUUGGAGAAAUUUGUUCCACAGUCUUGCAGGGAGGAGCUGCAUAGACAGUUUGAACAGCUACAUCAGGAUGGCAUGUCUGUGACUCAGUACGAGAUGAGAUUUUUUGAGUUAGCCCAUCAUGCUGUUUGGUUGGUCCCUACGGAUAGGGAGAGGAUUAUAAGGUUCAUUGAUGGCCUCACAUAUCAGUUGCAGUUGCUUAUGACUCGGGAAAAGGGUAUAUGGUGCUACUUUCGAUGAGGUGGUCGAUAUUGCUCGGCAGAUAGAGAUGGUCCGUAGUUACAAGCGUGAGGAGAGGGAGGCCAAGAGGCCUCGAGGUUCGGGUGGUUCCAGUAGUGUUCAUUCUAGGGGACAGUCCUACCACAAAAGGGGUAGUCCUUAAAGCCCGCUCAAAUGGCUCGUCCAACUCACCGUGGUGCAUCAUCAAGCCAUGGUUCAUACAGUGCUUGUCAGAGUCGAUCAUCUCUCAGUACCCUUCCAGUUCAGAGUUUGUCCCGUGAUCUAUUAGUUAGGGUUCAUCUAUGCCAGGACCUUCCAGUAGUUACUGUGGUAUUUGGGGCCUGAUUCAGUCCCUACUACCACCACUUCCGGGGAGUUGUUUUGAGUGCGGGGAGUUUGGGCAUGUAUGGAGACAAUGUCCUCAUCGCCCAGGAGGUCCAGUGUAGCAGAUGAGUCAAGUUACAACUUCAGCACCAGUUACUUCACCACCCGCUCAGCCAGCUUGGGGGUGGGGCCCAGGUAGCUAGAGGUCGACCUAGAGUGGGAGGGCGAUUAGGUGGCGGUCAGGCCCGAUUCUAUGCUAUUCCUGCCAGACCAGAUGUUGUUGCUUUAGAUGUAGUGAUUACAUCUAUUGUCUCAGUAUGCCACACGGAUGCCUCUUUAUUAUUUGAGCUUGGUUCCACUUAUUCAUAUGUAUCAUCGUAUUUUGCUCAUCAUCUAGAUAUGCCCCGUGAGUCCUUAGUUUCAUAUGUUCAUGUAUCUAUGCCAGUAGGCGAUACUAUUAUUGUGGACCGUGUAUAUUGGUUGUGUGUAGUGACUUUUGGGGGAUUGGAGACUAGAGUUGAUCUCUUAUUGCUUAGUAUGGCUGAUUUUGAUGUGAUCUUGGGUAUGUAUUGGUUGUCUCCAUGCCAUGCUAUUUUGUAUUGUCACGUUAAGACCGUGACGUUGGCGAUGCCGGGGUUGCCAAGGAUUGAGUAGAAAGGUUCUCUAGACUAUAUUCCCAGCAGAGUGAUUUCAUAUUUGAAGGCCCAACGGAUGGUUAGGAAGGGUUGUUUAUCUUAUUUGGCCUUUAUGAGGGAUGUUGGUGCUGAUACUACUACUGUUGAUUCUAUUCCGGUAGUACGAGAGUUUUCGGAUGUGUUUCCUGCAGUCCUGCCGGGUAUGCCACCCGACAGGUGUAUUGACUUGGUGCUAGGCACUCAGCCCAUUUCUAUUCCUUUGUAUCGUAUGGCACCAACUGAGUUAAAGGAAUUGAAAGAGCAGUUUCGGGAACUUCUUGAUAAGGGGUUUAUUAGGCCUAGUGUGUCGCCUUGGGGUGCACCAGUUCUGUUUGUGAAGAAGAAGGAUAGUACUAUGUGGAUAUGCAUCAACUAUAGGCAGUUGAACAAAGUUACAAUCAAGAACAAGUAUCCUUUUCUACGUAUUGAUGAUCUAUGUGACUUAUUUCAGGGAGCGAGGGUGUUCUCUAAGAUUGACUUGAGGUUUGGGUAUCACUAGUUGAAGAUUCGGGAUUCGAAUAUUCUAAAUACAACGUUCAGGACCCGUUAUAGUCAUUAUGAGUUCCUUGUGAUGUCUUUUGGGAUGACCAAUGCCCCAGUACCAUUCAUGCAUAUGAUGAACAAUGUAUUUUAGCCUUUUCUCGACUCGUUUGUCAUAGUAUUCAUUGAUGAUAUCUUGGUGUACUCUCGUAGCCAGGAGGAGCAUGCCCAGUAUUUGAGGAUUGUGCUGCAACGAUUGAGGGAGGAGAAACUUUAUGUCAAGUUCUCCAAGUGUGAGUUUUGGCUUAGUUCAGUGGUGUUCUUGGGGCACGUGGUGUCCAGUGAGGAGAUUCAGAUGGAUCCAAGAAAGAUAGAGGCACUUCAGAGUUGGCCCAGACCGUCCUCGCUAUGGAAAUUUAUAGUUUUCUCGGCUUGACUAGUUAUUAUUGUCACUUCGUGGAGGGUUUCUCAUCUAUUGUAUCUCCCUCGACCAAAUUGACCCAAAAGGUGCUACUUUCAGGUGGUCGGAUGAGUGUGAGGAGAGCUUUCAGAAGCUCAAGACUGCCUUGACCACAACUCCAGUUCUAGUUUUGCCUUCAGCUUCAGGAUCUUAUAUAGUGUAUUGUGAUGCUUCUCAGAUUGGUAUUGGGUGUGUCUUGCUGCAGAGAGGUAGAGUUAUUGAUUAUGCUUCGCGUCAGUUGAAGUCUCAUGAGAAGAACUACCAUGUUCAUGAUUUGGAGUUGGCUGCCAUCAUUCAUGCAUUGAAUUUUUGGAGACAUUAUAUCUACGGUGUGUUUGCGAGGUAUUUACGGAUCAUCGGAGUUUACAGCACUUGUUUAAACAAAAGUAUCAAAAUUUGAGACAGUGGAGAUGGUUGGAGCUUCUAAAGGACUAUGAUUUCAUUAUUCUGUAUCGUCCCGGGAAGGCCAAUAUGGUGGCGAUGCCUUGAGUAGAAAGGCGGUGAGUAUGGGUAGCCUUGCAUUCAUUCCUAUUGGUGAGAGACCACUUACAGUUGAUGUUCAAGCCUUGGCCAACCAAUUCAUGAUAUUAGAUGUUUCAGAGCCCAGCUGGGUUUAACUUGUGUGGUUUCUCGGUCUUCCCUAUAUGAUCGCAUAAGAGAGCGCCAAUUUGAUAAUCCUUAUUUACUUGUCCUUAAGGACACAGAUCAGCUCGGUGAUGCCAGAGAUGUUACUAUUGGGGAUGAUAGGGUGUUGAGGAUACAAGGUCAGAUUUGUGUGCCUAAUGUAGAUGGGCUACGUGAGUUGAUUCUUGAGGAGGCCCAUAGUUCAGGGUAUUCCAUUCAUCCAGGUGCCGCGAAGAUGUAUCAGGACUUGAGACAAUAUUAUUUGUGGAGGAGAACGAAAAAGGAUAUAGUGGGAUUUGUAGCUCGGUGUCUUAACUGUCAGCAAGCGAAGUAUGAGCAUUAGAGACUGGUGGAUUGCUUCAGAGGCUAAAGAUUCCAGAGUGGUAAUGGGAGCGGAUCACCAUGCAUUUUGUAGUUGGGCUCCCACAGACUUCGAUGAAGUUUGAUGCUAUUUGGGUGAUUAUGGAUCGGCUGACCAAGUUUGUGCAUUUUAUUCCAGUUGGGACUACUUAUUAUUCAGAGUGGUUGGCUGAGAUUUACAUCCAUGAGAUUGUCCGCCUUCACGGUGUGCCAGUGUCCAUCAUUUCGAAUUGGGGCACGCACUUUACAUCGCAUUUUUGGAGAGUCGUGCAGCGAGGAUUGGGCACCCAAGUUGAGUUGAGUACAACAUUUCACCCUUAGAUGGACGGACAAUCCGAGCGCACUAGUCAGAUAUUGGUGGACAUGCUACGUACUUGUGUCAUUAAUUUCGGGGCUUCUUGGGAUCAGUUUAUGCCGCUCGCGGAGUUUGCCUAAAAUAACAGCUACCAAUCGAGCAUUUAGAUGGCUCCGUAUAAGGCUCUAUGUGGGAGACAAUGUCAAUCUUCGGUGGGUUGGUUCGAGCCGGGGGAGGCUAGGCUAUUGGACAAGGUUAAAUUGAUUCAGGAUCGGCUUCACACGGCGCAGUCCAGACAGAAAAAUUACGCCAAUAGGAAGGUUCGGGAUGUUGCUUUCAUGGGUGGGGAGAAGGUACUACUUAAGGUUUCACCCAUGAAGGGUGUUAUGAGGUUCAGGAAGAAAGGCAAGUUGAGCCCUCGGUAUAUUGGGCUGUUUGAGGUACUUCAGAGGAUUGGAGAAGUGGCUUACAAGCUUGCCUUGCCACUUAGUUUGUCGAGUGUACAUACAGUGUUUCAUGUUUCUAUGCUCCGGAAGUAUGUCGGCGAUCCGUCUCAUGUUUUUUAUUUUAGCAUGGUUCAGUUGGAUGGUGAUUUGACUUAUGAUGUGGAGCCGGUGGCCAUUUUGGAUAAGCAGGUUCGAAAGUUGAGAUCAAAGAACAUAGUUUCAGUGAAGGUGCAAUGGAGAGGUUAGCCAGUUGAGGAGUCUAGUUGGGAGACUGAGUGGGAGAUGCAGAGCAGAUAUCCACGCCUAUUUGAGACACCAGGUAUGUUUCUAGACCCGUUCGAGGACGGACGUUUGUCUAAGAGGGGGAGGAUGAAAUGACUCGGCCGGUCGUUUUGAGUGUUGUAACCCCGUUCCUUCAUUUACUGCUCAUUUUGUUCUUUCUAGCUAUUAUGUGACUUUACGGGAUAGUCGAUUCAGGUCCGGAGAGAUUUCGAAAUGAAUUGAGACAUUUAGUCUCAUAGUUGAAAGCUUAAGUUGAAAAGUUGACCGAAUGUUGACUUAUGUAUAAAUGACUCCAGAAAGGAGUUUUGAUGAUUGUAUUAGCUCCUUUGGGUGAUUUUAGACUUAGGUGUGUCCGAAUUGUGAUUUGGAGGUCCGUAGUUGAAUUAAGCUUGAAAUGACAAAAGUUGGAAUUUAAAACUUUGACUGAGAGUGGUCUUUGUGGUUACCGGGCUUGGAUUGGAGUUUCGGGAGUUAGAAUAGGCCUGUGGUGUCAUUGUUGACUUUUAUGCAAAAUUUGGGGGCAAUUGAACGUGAUUUGAUAGGUUUCGGCGCCGUUUGUAGAAGUUGGAAUUUUCUUAGUUUCAAUAGGCUUGAAUUGGGGUGCGAUUCGUGUUUUUGUUGUUGUUUGAGGUGAUUGGAGGGCUCGACUAAGUUUGUAUCGUAUUUUAGGACUUGAUGGUAUGUUUGGUUAGGUCCCGGGAGCCUCGGGUGAGUUUCAGAUAGUUAACAGAUCAGUUUUGGACUUGGAAGGCUGCUGUAGAAUUUAUGGUAUCCAGCUAUGGUUUCCUCCUUCACGUUCGCGAUGGGAGUCCCGCGUUCGCGAAGAGUAGCUGAUGGAAGGUGUGGAUUUGUUAUUUCGCGCUCGCGAAGGUCUAGGUAGUUGGUGCAUCGCGAACGCGAGAAGGGGAAUGCAUUCGUGAUGAGGAGAGGAGGCAGCUGGGACCCCACGCGUUUGGUCUACGCGUUCGCGUAAGGUAGGUCGUGUUUGUGAAGCAUGGGGCCAGCAAGGUAUCAUGUUCGCGAGUGGUGCCUUGCGUUCGCGUAGGAGGCUCUUGGGUAGCAGAUUCAUUUGUGCUAUGCGAACGGGAGAAGGGGGCCGCGUUCGCAAAGUAGGGUUACCUGGGCUGAUUUAAACAUUUCAAAAAUGAGGGUUUGAGUUCAUAACACAAAAUUGAUUUUGGGAGCUCGGUGGGAGGAGAUUUGUUUAGAGCGAUUUUCAAGUGGGUGAUUGGGGUAAGUGAUUCUUACCUAGUUUUGGUUAAUUUCCAUGAUUAUAUUUUUGAUUUCAUCAUUUAAUUUGUGAUUGGGGGUGAAAACAUUGGGGAAAAAUGGAGGAAAGUUCUUAGGCCGAAUUUUGAGGUUUUGAUCGAGAUUUUUGUAUCGGAUUUGAGUAAUUUUGGUAUGGUUGGACUCGUGGUUGAAUGAGUGUUAGGAUUUUGUGACUUUCACCCAGUUAUGAGACGUGGGACAAGGGGGCGGCUUUUGAGUUGAUUUGUUUUGACUUUUGAUUAAGAGCUUAGUAUUUUCUUAAUAAAUUGAUUCCUUUAGCUCGUGUUGAUUAUAUCGAAUUGUUUGUGACUAGAUUCGAGGCAUUCGAAGGCCGUUUCGUGAGGCAAGGGCAUGUUGGAGUAGAGAUUUGCGUGGUUUGAGGUAAGUAACAAUUCUAAAUUUGGUUCUCAGGGUAUGAAACCCCGCAAUAUGUGUCAUGUGAUUGAUUUUGAGGUGACGCACAUGCUAGGUUACGGGCGUGUGGGCGUGCACCGUAGGAAUUAUGACUUGGUCAAUUCCAUGGAGCUGAAUAGUUGAAAACUCUAUUGUUAUCCCUAUAUUCUCCGUGUGCUACAGAAAUUGAACUGCAAAUCAUGUUAGAAAUCAUGUUUAAACUAUGUGUUGGCAUUGUAGGGACCCAUAAAGGUCGUGUACAUGUUGAAUUGUCUGCUAAAUUGUUAUUUGUACUCAGUCACAGUUUUACUUGCAUAUUACAUCUCAGUCUAUAUUGUUCAUUAUUGAUAUAUUAUAUCAUUGCUUUCUAGGCUGAUUAUCAUGAUUAGUGAGAGCCCGGGAGACUGGAGAGGUUGAUGACUGAGUGAGGCCGAGGGGCUGAUUUUGUGAGGAUAUUAUGGGAUCGGACUGCACGCCGCAGCAUGUUUCAUUAAUUUAUGCCAUGAUUGGCUUGGUGUAGCAUUUGGGAUGAAGGAUCCCCUCUGGAGUCUGUACACACCACUAAUGAGCGCAGGUACCUACUGAGUGUGAGUGCCGAGUGAUUGAGAGGAAUGAGAGACUGUGGGGAAUAAGUGACAGUGAGGUUGAAGUGCAUGGGAGGACUGAGUGACUGCUGCUAUGAGAUUUUGCACUUAAUUUCAUUACUGUUGUACUUCUCCUGGCAUAUAUCCUUGUCAUGUAAUCUCUGAGAGAUGUUAUAUCCUGUUUCCAAUUGAACUUGACAUGAAUUAACCGUUUUGGCCUUGAUUAUCAAAAUUGAAAGCAUGCCUAUCUUUCUAUGUUUGUAGUUUUUGUAAUUGAACUAUAUCUGUGGAUGUCACGACCCCAAUUUCCCUUUGUAGGAUAUCGUGAUGGCACCUAGUCUCUAAUACUAGGUAAGCCUAAUAAAUUUGCGGAAUAACGGAAUAUAAAACUGAACUCAAAUCCCAACACAUGAUAUAUAAAUAGAAAUUGCGAUUCAAAUAAUAAAAACUCCCAAAACCUGGUAGAAAUAAUUUACAAGAUUCUAAGAGAAAAUACAAAGUGUCUCUAUAUAUCAGAGUCUAAAGAGAAUAAGUAAAACGACAUAAUAAGUAUAGAGAGAGACUCCGAGGUGUGCAGACGCUGGCAGAUAUACCUUGUAGUCUCCGCGUACAGUUCUGCUCACUAGUAUCUGACCUGGUAGGAAGAACCUGGAUCUGCACAAAAAGAUAUGCAGAAGUGUAGUAUGAGUACACCACAAGGGUAUCCAGUAAGUUCCAAGCCUAACCCUGGUAGAGUAGUGAUGAUGUGAGGUCAGGGUCCUACUGGAAUAAAAGGAAAUGAGGUAGAUAAUAUAAUAAUACAAUGAAAUGACUAAGAAGUGAACAACAAAAAAUUACAGAAAGGUAACAGCAUAACAAAUAGAGGUACACAACAGGGGAGGCCGGGCCAGAUAUUAUGCACUUCCUGCUCGCACAGAGGCAGUUGCUUCUGAUUCUGUCAUUACAGGUAUUGUUUCGGUCUGUCAUAGAGAUGCAUCGGUAUUAUUUGACCCAGGCUCUACAUAUUCUUAUGUGUUCUCUUAUUUUGCCCCGUAUUUGGGCAUACCUCGGGAUUCUUUGAGUUCCCCUAUUUAUGUAUCUACUCCUGUGGGAGAUUCUCUUGUUGUGGACCGCGUGUAUCGGUCGAGUUUGAUUGCUCUUAGUGGUUUUGAGACCAGGGCCGAUUUAUUAUUGCUCAACAUGGUGGACUUUGAUAUUAUUUUGGGCAUAGACUGGUUGUCGCCCCAUUUUGUUAUUCUUGAUUGUUACGCUAAGACCGUGACGCUGGCUAUGCCAGGAUUUCUGUGAUUUGAGUGGAGAGGUACCUUAGAGUAUACUCCCAGCAGAGUUAUUUAAUUUCUUAAAGCUCAACGAAUGGUUGAGAAGGGGUGUG
rnacentral:lncRNA from 1 species